UGGGGAAUUUUGGACAAUGGGCGAAAGCCUGAUCCAGCAAUGCCGCGUGUGUGAAGAAGGCCUUCGGGUUGUAAAGCACUUUUGUCCGGAAAGAAAUCCUUGGCUCUAAUACAGUCGGGGGAUGACGGUACCGGAAGAAUGAGCACCGGCUAACUACGUGCCAGCAGCCGCGGUAAUACGUAGGGUGCAAGCGUUAAUCGGAAUUACUGGGCGUAAAGCGUGCGCAGGCGGUUUGCUAAGACCGAUGUGAAAUCCCCGGGCUCAACCUGGGAACUGCAUUGGUGACUGGCAGGCUAGAGUAUGGCAGAGGGGGGUAGAAUUCCACGUGUAGCAGUGAAAUGCGUAGAGAUGUGGAGGAAUACCGAUGGCGAAGGCAGCCCCCUGGGCCAAAUACUGACGCUCAUGCACGAAAGCGUGGGGAGCAAACAGGAUUAGAUACCCUGGUAGUCCACGCCCUAAACGAUGUCAACUAGUUGUUGGGGACUUCAUUUCCUUAGUAACGUAGCUAACGCGUGAAGUUGACCGCCUGGGGAGUACGGUCG
rnacentral:rRNA from 1 species